rnacentral:misc_RNA from 1 species
GAUGAAGAACGUAGCGAAAUGCGAUAAGUAAUGUGAAUUGCAGAAUUCAGUGAAUCAUCGAAUCUUUGAACGCACAUUGCGCCCGCCAGUAUUCUGGCGGGCAUGCCUGUUCGAGCGUCAUUACAACCCUCAGGCCCCCGGGCCUGGCGUUGGGGAUCGGCGGAAGCCCCCUGCGGGCACAACGCCGUCCCCCAAAUACAGUGGCGGUCCCGCCGCAGCUUCCAUUGCGUAGUAGCUAACACCUCGCAACUGGAGAGCGGCGCGGCCACGCCGUAAAACACCCAACUUCUGAAUGUUGACCUCGGAUCAGGUAGGGAUACCCGCUGAACUUAAGCAUAUCAAUAAGCGGAGGA